rnacentral:rRNA from 1 species
AUGGAUGAUCCCUUAGCCAGUCCUGUCGCUCAUCUUGAUCUGCCGCCUCCAAUUUCUCUGUCAGGUUUGAUGUACAUUCAGAUAGCUAUAUUUAUGAUCUGCCAUCUCCAAUUUCUCAGGUUUGAUGAAUAUUCAGAUAGCCAUAUCUAUGCAGAAUUUUACUCUUUGCUAUGUUGUAUGCAGGCAGGCAAAUGCUACGGAAGCAGCCAAAUUAAAACAUGCAUGUUCUCCACAUUUUCGUCUAAUGGUGUUUAUGUUGGGAUUUCCUUUAUUUAUUAUAUGAAUGCUUAUGGUGAUAUUGGGUUGUUUGUAGAGGCAUCACUUGCAGAUAGUUGA